rnacentral:rRNA from 1 species
UUUACACAUGCAAGUCNAGCGGUAACACGGUGCUUGCCCCGUUGACGAGUGGUAAACGGGCGAAUAAUGCNUCAGANCCUGCCGAGUAGUGGGGGAUAACGCAACGAAAGCUGUGCUCAUACCCCAUACGCACUGAGGUUAAAAGUGGGGGACCUUCGGGCCUCCCGCUAUUCGAUCGGCCGACGUCUGAUUAGCUAGUUGGUAGGGUAAAGGCCUACCAAGGCGACGAUCAGUAGCGGGUCUGAGAGGAUGAUCCGCCACACUGGGACUGAGACACGGCCCAAACUCCUACAGGAGGCAGCAGUGGGGAAUUUUGGACAAUGGGGGCAACCCUGAUCCACCCAUGCCGCGUGUCUGAAGAAGGCCUUCGGGUUGUAAAGGACUUUUGUCCGGNAGCAAAUGCUGGUGGCUAACAUCCACCGGAGCUGAGAGUACCGGAAGAAUAAGCACCGGCUAACUACGUGCCANCNGCCNCGGUAAUAAAAA